CAGAUGAGGAAAUGGAGGUACAAAGAUGUGAAAUGACAACCAAGUCACACGUAUAAGGUGUGAAGACUGAAGCUGAGAGAAGUCAGCUGAUUUGGCCCAAGCGCGUGUGGCCAGACGCUAAAACUUGUUCUGGAAACUUCUUGCUGUCUCGCGUCACAGCUCCCAGAGGACUCCUCAUCUUUGAUCUCGGAGGAGAGUGUUGCUGUCUAUCUUCACUCCCACCUCCAGACUGAGAACAGGACUUGUUCCGAAGGAAUCAUCUACAUGUUUU